AACAAACCUUCAAAACGGUCCCAAGCUUUGUCUGUGGUGGACGCGCGCACGUCCGUCUCCCCCCUGUCGAAAGUGCAAAAGUGGGCAAAUUUCAACUUUCUCCCACCGUGUGUUACCCACAACAGGAAUUGACAUUUAUUUUUACGUUGCGUGUAAUUGGAUAAAUUAAGGCACAAUUGCGUGCCAAAAUCAGGUUGGACAUUUUCGUCCAAACUGGAGCGCGAUAAAUUACCCUGUUGGAAUCGAGUCGAAGCAUACGAAGAGCAAAAGAAAAAAAGUGUAGCGUGAGCGUGUGUGUGAGGCAAGUGCGCACACUCGUCGUCGUUGCGGUUGGUGGUGUGCGUGUGUUGGCGCAGCGAAAAAUAAAACCCGACGAGGUUGACUAAUUUCGGCAGUAAAUUUUUGGUACAAAUUUGAUUUUUUCAAAAGAAAUUUAAGUGAAAUCAAUUGGAAUUGUAUUUGCGAGAGCGUCGAGGGAAGAAGUGAAAAAAAGUCGCAAAAUUUUGACAGCUUGCGACGACUGACAGCCCAGUGCAGGCAGAACAAGAUGGCGGCGGUCGCGUCGACCAAUCAGCGACGAGCUUCUAUCGUCGGCGCACACUUUGGUGAUUUUUCAUACGUUUUCGCGUCACCGUCGUGCAGAGGCAAAAUUUAGUGCGUCCUCGACGGAACAAGUCCAGCAGCAGAGCAGGGUUGAAAAUAUCGCGGAAAUUGUCGAACCUUCGUGCGUGACAUGUGUCAGGACGGUCUGCGUCCGUCGGAGUCAAGUGACCGCGUUGGAACUGCGUGGAUUAGGACCAUUUCCGGAUAAAAACGUAGAAAAACCCACUCUUACGUUUCGAUUUACAAAAAAAAAGAUCACAAAUCAAACCAACCGAUACAUCGUUCACCGCCCGUGAACCACAAUAUGAGCAGUCGCAAGUCGGCGGCCGCUGCCGGGGAGGGCCCGUCCGGCAGCAAAAAGCGUGGCCGACCGCCGGGCCGCCAGUCGUCGUCCUCCUCGAUGGAACGACCCAAGGGCAAGUUCCAGUACCACCUGCUCAAGAAGCCCAAAUAUCUGUGCAAAGACGGUGACUCCCGGUUCAGCACACCAUCCGCCUCGCGUGCCUCGUCCCCCGGCCAGGGCAGCGAGGAGAGCAGCAGCGUCCGCCCGUCGGCGUCGCGAUCUCGGGCACGGCCCAGCAAAACACCGAGCAAGUCGGCCGCCAAAGCAACACCCAAAGGACGCGCUUCGACGGGAGGUGCCCGAGGCCGCGCCAGCAAUAGCCGGAAAAGUUACACGUACCACGAGUCGGAGUACCACUACGGGUCGGACUUUGGCGAUGACAGUGACAAAAGUGACGGGUACGACGACUCGAUGCGGUCGGCGUCGGAUUCGGACGACAGUCUCGCGCAAGAGUCCGAGUCGGACAUGUCGAUUCUGAGCUUGAGCGUUGGCCCGAUCGGGAGCGGGUUGCAGAAGGAACCAUCGCCGGAUCCAAUCUGGCUGCAGGAUCGCGAGUAUCCGCCGCUGGAGUUGCCACCGUCGUCGGAGGAUCUGCUCGUGCCGAACGAGUUGGUGUUGCGAUGUGCAUCGAUUUACGAAAUCAUACGACGGUUCCGGCACCUGGUGCGGUUAUCCCCGUUCCGGUUGGAGGACUUUGCCGCGGCCAUCGCGUGCGAAGAUCAGAGCCCACUGCUGGUGGAGAUUCACAUCAUGCUGCUGAAGGCGAUACUGCGCGAGGAAGAUUCUCAACAGACACACUUUGCUCCGCUGGACCAGAAGGACAGCGUCAACAUUGCGUUGUAUCUGAUCGAUACGAUAACGUGGCCGGAAGUGAUGCGAAGUUACAUCGAAAGUGACUCGGCGCUCGAUCGGGACGUGUUGAAGAUACUCAGCACCAGUGAGUAUCCGUUUGUGGGGGCACAGCAGAGGCUACGCGUGUUGCAAUUCUUGACCGACCAGUUCCUGGUCACGACCACGGUCCGUGACGAUAUGCUGCAGGAGAGUCCCAUCCAUUACGACGACCACUGUCGUAUCUGUCACCGGUUGGGAGAUCUGCUGUGCUGCGAGACGUGCCCGGCAGUGUUCCACCUGGACUGUGUCGAUCCACCGUUGAUAGACGUGCCCAGCGAGGACUGGCAGUGCAAUCUGUGCAAGCUGCACAAGGUUUCCGGCGUCAUGGACUGCAUCUCGAGCCAGGAAAAGCAGGGAAUGCUGUGUCGGCAGGAACUGCUCGGCUUCGACCGGAAUGGGCGCAAGUAUUGGUACGUUGGCCGGCGGAUAUUCGUCGAAACGGAGGAAGGUGACAAUCCGGAAGUGUGGUACUACAGCACGGUGAAGCAGUUUGAGUAUCUAAUGACGCUGCUUGAUCCGGACGAAUACGAAGCACAACUGUGGAAGGAGUUGGACGAACGGCGGGACGAAAUCAUCCGCCAGAUGACCAUCACCGAAAACAUAACCAAUCAACAAAAGGGCGGUAAAAAGUCGUACAUUGAGGUGGACAAUCAGCGCAUCGACAAGUUGAUGACGCAAGAUGCUCCACCGGGUGAGGAAGAAGCGAAGGAGAACUCGGACGAACAGGACAAGGAAGAUUCGACCAACGGUAGCGAAUCGGCGGCCGAGAAGGAGGAAGACGGCGAUAAGCAUGUAACGCGGUCGAAAACGGGUUCGUUGACACCGCGAACAUUCAGCAUCGACGAGCUUAAACGGAAAGGCUCGCUUACCAAAGAAGACGAAGAGGCUCGGUUGACACGGAACCGACUUAGCCAGCUGGGCAACGGUACGCUGUACUUUAAGCUGGGCCAGGAGAACGGGUUCAAGUCGUACGUCAAUCAGUACUCGAUCAACCCAAUCGCGUUGAACAAACCACAACGGAACGAGGAACGCGACAAGAAGCGCCAUCUGUCGCACAAGUUCUCGUUGACGCAAGCUUCGGAGUUCAAGUGGCUCGGCGGUGGAAUGAACAGCACCCAGGCGCAGAUGAUCUCCACCAUCAAACAGACCAUCAUCGCCCUGGAACAGGCCACUCCGUCAUCGUUCCUGCACCAAAAUUGGACCAAACUGCGCAAAACUUGGAUCGGUGCAAUCAGCGCCUGCACCAAGGGACGAGACUUUGCUCGGAUCCUGUGCAUCCUUCAGGCGAGCAUGCGUUCGGUCAUCUUUGCCAGCGUUUGGCACGAACAGCUCGGGCACACCCGGAUGUACCGAAUUACCGCUGCCGAGCGUGAGGAGAAAAAGAAGCUCGAGAAGCGGGAAAAGCGCGAACAGGCCGACGAGGAGGAACGGAACCGAAACACGUUCAACUUUGUCAAGUACUCGCUCGGACUGCGGCACCAGGUUUGGAAGCAAAAGGGCGAAGAGUACCGCAUCCACGGCCAAUGGGACUGGGUUUGGAUCUCGUGCAAUCGGCGGCAGCAGUCGCACAAGACGCGCCGGGAAACGAACGAAGUCGGCCACGUAGUCGUUCCGAUCAUUGCCGAGGUGCACAAGCGGUUGCUCAAGCUGAACCGUAAGACGCACGAGGCGUACCAGGCCUGCAUCCAGGAUGACAGCCCCGCCGAGAAGCUGGACUUUAUGACCGAGAACGAUACGUUGAACCACCAGCUGGUGGAAAAGUUCAGCCAAAUCGAGACAUUCCAACUGCCCGUGCUGUACGGGGAAAUUGACAUAAGCAAGGCACUGUCCACGCCGGCAGGUCGUGCGCUCUAUCCAAAGAUUGCCCGAAAGGCUUCGGUGCUGGAUGGGUUGCUUCAGCGGAGGAUUGAGCUGCGGGACGCCGAGGAGCGAAAGAUCGCCAACGUCAAGCUGGAAGAGGACGACAUCGGGGUCAACGUAAUCGCCAAGCCGGAGGUGGCCGCCGUGCCGAGUGUGCGGUUCGGCGAGUGCGUUGAAAAGCAACUGCAAAAGAUUGCAAACAGCAGGGCUAACAGCGUCGUGGCCACCAGGAAUGGCACUGGAAUUGUGCGAAUCACUCCGAGUACGCCGACUACGACGGUGCCGACGCCGACGGUGAAGCCGAUGCCGGAGGAGAAGCGACAGGAGUUGAGUGAGAAAAUUCUCGCCCUUCGUGCCAAGUACCGGCAGGUCAGUCGUGUUGCGUCCCAGUACAAGUGCUACUCGGUUGACUGUGCCGAUGGCAAUUGCUACUCGGUGCUGUGUUCCCAGAAGCAGGCCAUCCAGGAUGAGUUGCGGCCACUGCUGAAGCAGCUGCAGUCGGCUCCGGUGGUCAGCGCCGCAGUUGGUGGAGUGCGGUCAAUCUUGGAGCAAAAGUUGACCCAGAACAAGCCGGAAGAUUUUGACGCACUGCUGAGCGCGUUCACCAUGAAUCGGUACCGUGCGAUCUCGGACGAUCUGGAGCAAGCCCUGCGCGAUCCGGUCGAGUACGACGAGGAGCUGAUUGCGUCGAUGGCGCUACCAAAGAUGGAAGUGGCGGAAGAGAGCAACAACAACGUUACGAACGAGGUUGAAGUAAAGACCGAAGAGGUUCCGGACAUGGUUGUUAAAGAGGAGGUCGUCAGCACGGAAGAUGAACUCAAUCUGAACGGGUCGGAACGAGCGGCGGACGAUAGUUUGAAGAUGAACGAAAACUCCAACUCGAUCUCGGAGAACUCGUGCGACGAACCACGGACAACGCGGCGAGGCCGCUCGUCCAGAAACAGUGGCAAGAACAACUCGCUGGUUGUCGUGGAAGAGCCAGAGCCACCGAAGGUCGUCAAACAGGAAGUGGUUCUGCCCAAGCGAGAGCACAAACCAAAUCGGCGCUUUGCGUUGCCAUCGCGAAGUGUCAAGAAGGAGGAUUCCGCCGAAGAGAAGGAACUGGCCCCGGACGGUAGUCAGCGUGUCUUUACUGUUUCAUCACCCAAGGGACGAAUCUACCUGCGCAAGGAGGUGCAAGCGCUGCCGGUGGUGGCGACGACUACGGUCGUUGCCGACACGAAGGUUAAGCCCGAACCCAAAGUGACCAGCGGUCCAGUUAAGCCAAAGUAUCCAGCGGUGAACUAUUUCCGCAACUGGAAGCAAACCACGUCGAUCAUGACGCUGCCACGGCACGACGCGAUCAAGUUGGCCCGGAUUGGGGGUCGACUUCCGGUGGAGGGUUUCCACCACACGGCCAAGAACAACAACUCCGUUUGGCCGUAUCCGUGCGCGCGGCCCCUCUUCAAGACGUGCUGGCUGUACAGGACGUUGAACUUGUCGACGCUGGCCGCGGUCGGGCUGCAACUGCGCAUCGUUUGGACCUGCCUGCGGUGGGACGAUAUGGCCAUGAAGCCGGUGACGACCGACGGGAAGCAUCAGGUCACUACCGAAUCCGAGAUCAUGUCGUUGGAGAUUUUGAAACAUCGCUACGCCGGGGUGUUCAACGAGCGGAUGCAGUACCUCCGCAGGAAGGUUGUCAUUCCGCUGGAGCUGCCCAAGACGGUGCGAGAGGUUCAAUCGAUCCGAUCCGGACUGCGGAAGCGUAAGCGGGCUGAGUCUCCGCAGCAAACGGAACCCCAGGUCAGCGAGGAGUGGAUCGACGAGGACAAGCUCGAGCUGUGGGAGAUUAAGCUGUACGGAGAGAAGCAGGAGAAGUUGGCCGCUGCCCAGGUGCUGCCGGUAACGAGGACCAGCACCGGAAAGCUUCCACCGAAUCGGCAUGCCGGCUCUUCGUCCGGCGAAUCGUCCAACUCGUCUACUCCGACGAACGGAGCUUCCUCCAGCUCCGGUGGACCGAACAAGACUGGCGUCAUUUCCAGUAAGGCGUCCCGGGAGGAAAUUACCGAAAAAAUGGAACAACAGCUGCGGAUUCAGCGCGCCGCCCACAACCAGAAGCGGGCGAUGGAGUUGAAGCAAGAUGGUGCAACGCCGCCCAAGCAGACGGUCGUGCAGCGACGCAUCAUCGUCAAGAACCCGGACGGUACGACCAAGGUGAUCCAGCAGAACAUCACCCAACCUGCGGGCCAAGCGGCGCGAUCUUCCCCGUCAGUUGUACAACAGCAACAGCAGCAGCAGCAACAACAAGCGCAGGCGAGUCCCGCUCCGAAACCGGACGGUCCCCAGAAGGUCCAGAUCAUCCGCGGUCCCGACGGCAAGGUUAGCGUCCGCGGACUCAACCCGGGCCAACAGCUGAUCCAGACGGCCGACGGAAAAUUGCACGUGCUCAGUGCGGCACCCGGUUCGAGUCCAACCGCGAGCAAGCAGGCGAUCGCCACCAAGACGGGUCAGAAGAUUAUCACGAAAAUGGCAGCCGCUGGCACGUCCGCCACGCCCAUUUCGUCCCCCGUGGUUCAGCAGCAGCAGCAGGUUCAACCGAUUCAGCAGAACACCACCACCGUGGUCAGUUCACCGGUUGCGGCUCCUGUUGCUGCCACCACGACGACGACGACGACGACGUCGGUCGCUCAGCAGAUUUUGAACAAGUCGCCAAACCUGGUCGUGCGGAACCAGGCCGGCCAGCCGAUCAAGCAGAUCAUCCAGAAGCAGGUCGUGCAGAAGGUUCAAGCAACCAGUACGACUCCGCAGCAGGUGGCCGCGACGCCCCAGAAGAUCAUCAUCAACAAUCAGCAGGGUGGUACGGUUCAGAAGAUCAUUUCGACCGCCGGUGGUCAGCUGAUUGCGACGAGCACCAGCAACCAGCAGGUUCAGAAGGUUGUGACGCAGUCCAAUCUGCAGCAGUUGCUGCAGGGUGCGACCGGCCAGAAGGUGAUUGUCGAGCAGAACCCCGGCCAAAGUCAGGCGGUCCAGACGCAGAAGGUUCUGGUUACGACAACUCCAACCGGGCAGACCGUACAGAAGCAGAUUUUGAUUCAGAACGCCAAUGCGCCCGGAACACCGCAGCAGAUCGUGAUCAACCAGGGCGGAGGUGGACAGAAGAUUGUUCAGCAGAUAGUGGCCUCACCCGGUCAGCAGAUAAUGAUCGGCGGUCAGCGAAUAAUUCUGAACCACGGAGGUGGCCAAAAGAUCAUCAGCAAUCAACCGAUCCAAAUCCAGCAGAACCAACAGGUUCAGCAGAUUCAGCAAGUGCAAAAGGUUCACCACCAGCUGGUGGCGGCACCCCAACAACAGCAGCAGCAGCCUCAACAGCCGCAGCAAAUCCAGAUCCAAAUUCAGCAACCCGUGGUGAGUCAACCCCAGCAGAUCCAGACCAUCCAGGCCGCCCAACAACCGACUCAGCUGAGUCAAGGUCAAAGUUUGGCGCAACAACUGUCCAGCGGAAAGCUUCAGCUAGCCAACCUAAACGGCCAACAGGUGCUGAUUCGACCCUUGGGCAACAACCAGGCCCAGGUGGUGGCCCACAUCAAGACCCAGUCCAACGGAACCGCCCAAAUCAUUCCUCUGGCUAACGCGGUCGACCCACCGCCGCCGCCUCAGCCGCAACCCCAACCUCAGAUACAGCAUGUCCAAAUCCCGCAAGCAACAACGAUUCAACAAGUCGUCCAGCAGCAACAACAAACCGUCGUCCAGCAUGCACUGAACACGUCCGGUGGGUCCACGACCACCACCACCUUCCAACAGCUUGCCUCACCAAUCCAGCAGCAGCAGCAGCAACAGCAACAGGUCAUCGAUCCCGUCGAGCAGUCCCUGCUCCAGGGACAACCACCGGGCACGGUCAUCAAGUGCGUUACGGCCCAGGUCAUCCAAACGCAGCAGGGUCCGCGGAUAGUGCUGCAAGGUUUGCAGGGUUCGGACUUUACGCCCCAGCAGUCCGCGCUCGUCCAGCAGCAGGUCAAGCAGCAGCUGCUCAAAGCCCAAGAGUCCAACGGCAAGCAGGGCGUGCUCGGGCCGACCAAGAUCUACCUGGCGAUUCAGCCGUCGCAGCAGGCGACGGUCGCGGCCCAGCCUCCCCCGUUGGCGCCGGUCCAGAUCAAGCACGACGGCGGAACGACGCACAUUCAGCUGCACCACCAGCACGCCGACUCGACCGUCACCACCACGACACCCACCGCGGCGGACGACCCGGAACUGCCGGUGACGGGUUCGCUCAUCAGCACAACGAGCACGAUCAAGACGGCGGCCAGCACGAGCGCCAACGACAGCAAGCCGCAGAUUCUGUCCAACAUUGUCAUCAACGGGGGCGGCACGGGGACGCCGAUCAACCCGCUGGUCAAGAAGGAACUGCAGAAGGUGCUUAGUCGGAGUCAGCAGAAGCAGGUUCCGACGGACGAGCAGCAGGAUGUGGUCGUGGCGGAGGCUGCCGUGAAGGAGGAAGACGAGGACGAGGACGGAGGCGAGGUCAAGGACGAUGGGUCGUUUGUCGUGACGGCGGAUUACAUUCAGCAGACAAUCAAAAAUGCCUUGAAGCAGGAGAAUCUCAACCCGGAGAUUGAGGAAAAGUUGUUGAAUCUGCAGCGGUACCAGGAGAAGCAGAUGAAGGUGGACGAUCGGGGUGGAGCGGCGAUUGCGUUGCAGCACAACUACAGCAACAUGAGUUCGUCCCGGGAGCAUCAUCAACACCACAGCCAGAGUACGCCGUCCAAGGCCAAGAAGCGGGUUUACCGCGGCGAGGACGACGAUGACGAGUGGAUGAUGGACACGCCAAAGCGAAGGCCGACGAAAGCUGGUGGCGUUGGCGGAGGAGGCAGUGUUGGCAGUUCCGUUAGCUCGGUCGAGAGGAAGAGCGGCAUGGUGGUUGGGGGCUUGGAGACGACUCCGUGUUCCUCGAGUAAAAAGCGUACGAUCUCACAGAAUGAAGCGACGGCUGCGGCCGCCGCAGCGGCAGUUGUUGCCUCGGUUAAAGCCGAAACGAUGGGCAUUGACAUGCCGGUUCCGUUGGAGAGUCCAACGACUACCACGACGUCAACACCCGCAUCUUCAACGUUCAACGCCCGUUCGGAGGCGGCUCGCCGCGGUGUCGAGAAGCGACGGCAGCAACAAGCUCUACUCCAACAACAACAACGCCAGAACAAGCUGCAGGCCCAGCUGAACCGCCACAAGGAGCAACUCAAGAAGGACAUUCUCAAGAAGCGAUCUCAUCUGGAACGGGAACUGCAGGUACAGAUCCAGAAGGAGCUGUCGGCGGAACUUGCUACGCGCUGCAAGCAGGAACAGCAGCAAAUCAAACAGGAAAGCAGUGCUACCAAACCGGGCCAGACGGGAGUGGCGUCGGCGGCGGCCGCCGUCGAAAAGGGCGGUUCUGCGAGGAAAAAAACCACGUCAACGUCCAAGGAGAACAACCAAAAAGGGACAGAAACAUGCCAACAACGCGAGCAAAGCAUCCACCGCGGAUAAGCCCUCCAAGUCGGGCAGCAGUAAACGAAUGUCCAAGGGGAAAAAGGAGAAGAUUUACUGCGUCUGCCGGAAGCCGUACGACGACACGAAAUUCUACGUGGGUUGUGAUCUGUGCAAUAACUGGUUCCACGGCGACUGCGUCGGCAUCACCGAGGAGCAAUCGAAGGAGGUCAACGAGUUUGUGUGCAGCGAGUGCAAGCACGCCCGGGAAACGCAGGAGCUGUACUGUCU
rnacentral:misc_RNA from 1 species